rnacentral:rRNA from 1 species
CUUCAAAAUCCAGAAUUUCUUCCUCUGGUGGCUGAGAUUUGGUUUAGGCCGGUGUACACAAACAACCCCAUCGAUUCCUUGAACAUUAAACUGAAGAGGUUCAAGAAAUUCUUUAAAGGGUGGGGAUCUAAUUUGUUUGGUCACAACAAGAUUAGAAAGAAGCUUAUUAAACUUGAACUUCAGGAGCCGGAAAAGCUCGAAGAGGAAGUUGGCCUAUGUGGUGAGGCUUAUACUAGGAAACUAAAUAUCCUAGUAGAGCUCAAUGAUAUGUAUGUGGAAGAAGAACUUCAUUGGCAUCAACUAUCUAAUGAGAGGUGGUUAUUGAAAGGAGACAAUAACACUGAUUUUUUUCAUAAGGUUGCUAAUGGGCGUCGUAGGAAAAACUCUAUGAUCUCCCUUGAAUGUGGAUCUGUGGUUAUAGAUGGAACCAAAAACUUAUUAGCCCAUGCCACAGAAUACUAUAAGAACCUUUUUGGACCGGCCCCUGGAAAUAUUUGCCAAAUUGAUGCAACUCUAUGGUCUCAGGAGGAAAAAAUUACUCCUAAGGACAAUGAUGAUUUGACCCGACCUUUUUCCCUUGAGGAGAUCAAGAAGGCUCUGUUUAGCAUGAAAACUAAUCGG